AGAUCAGGAUCACGUGUGUCCAGCUCUGUGUCUCUGAAGAGUGACCGGUCUAAAGAUUAUCCACCACAUCAUCAUCUGCACAAAAUGUGAGAUCAGGAUCAUGUGUGUCCAGCUCUGUCUCUGAAGAGUGACUGGUCUAAAGGUUAUCCACCAGACCUCAGAGAGGAAACACCAUCAUCUGCUCAAAGUGAUGAAUAUGAGUCACGCAGAUUCAGGAGACGAGACUCACAGGAGACACAAGAGCUUCACAGACAAUCUCCAGUCGAUCGUCCAGGUGGGAAAAACUCAUUUUGAUUAAUUAAUGUCUCUAAAAUAGCUCCAUGAAAC